GGCUUUCUGGAAAUCUAAGUACACUAUGCCCACUGGAUCCCCCUUGUCCACAUUUGUUGACCCCUUCAAAGAACUCCAAUAGAGUAGUAAGACACAAUUUCCCUUUAAAGAAACCCUGUUGACUUUUGCCCAACAAUGUAUGUUCUUCUAUGUGUCUGACAAUUUUAUUCUUUACUAUUGUCUCAACUAAUUUGCCCAGUACUAACGUUAGACUGACCGGUCUGUAACUGCCGGGAUCACCUCUCGAGCCCUUCUUAAAUAUUGGCAAUAUAUUAGCU